GAGUUUGAUCGUGGCUCAGGAUGAACGCUGGCGGCGUGCCUAAUACAUGCAAGUCGAGCGAACAGACGAGGAGCUUGCUCCUCUGACGUUAGCGGCGGACGGGUGAGUAACACGUGGAUAACCUACCUAUAAGACUGGGAUAACUUCGGGAAACCGGAGCUAAUACCGGAUAAUAUAUUGAACCGCAUGGUUCAAUAGUGAAAGACGGUUUUGCUGUCACUUAUAGAUGGAUCCGCGCCGCAUUAGCUAGUUGGUAAGGUAACGGCUUACCAAGGCAACGAUGCGUAGCCGACCUGAGAGGGUGAUCGGCCACACUGGAACUGAGACACGGUCCAGACUCCUACGGGAGGCAGCAGUAGGGAAUCUUCCGCAAUGGGCGAAAGCCUGACGGAGCAACGCCGCGUGAGUGAUGAAGGUCUUCGGAUCGUAAAACUCUGUUAUUAGGGAAGAACAAAUGUGUAAGUAACUAUGCACGUCUUGACGGUACCUAAUCAGAAGCCACGGCUAACUACGUG
rnacentral:rRNA from 1 species